rnacentral:rRNA from 1 species
AGUGAACGCUGGCGGUAGGCCUAACACAUGCAAGUCGAACGGCAGCACAGUAAGAGCUUGCUCUUACGGGUGGCGAGUGGCGGACAGGUGAGGAAUACAUCGGAAUCUACUUUUUCGUGGGGGAUAACGUAGGGAAACUUACGCUAAUACCGCAUACGACCUACGGGUGAAAGCAGGGGAUCUUUGGACCUUGCGCGAUUGAAUGAGCCGAUGUCGGAUUAGCUAGUUGGCGGGGUAAAGGCCCACCAAGGCGACGAUCCGUAGCUGGUCUGAGAGGAUGAUCAGCCACACUGGAACUGAGACACGGUCCAGACUCCUACGGGAGGCAGCAGUGGGGAAUAUUGGACAAUGGGCGCAAGCCUGAUCCAGCCAUACCGCGUGGGUGAAGAAGGCCUUCGGGUUGUAAAGCCCUUUUGUUGGGAAAGAAAAGCAGCAGGUUAAUACCCCGCUGUUCUGACGGUACCCAAAGAAUAAGCACCGGCUAACUUCGUG